CAGCCGCCGCGGUAAUACGUAGGGGGCGAGCGUUGUCCGGAAUUAUUGGGCGUAAAGCGCGCGCAGGCGGUCCCUUAAGUCUGAUGUGAAAGCCCACGGCUCAACCGUGGAGGGUCAUUGGAAACUGGGGGACUUGAGUGCAGAAGAGGAGAGCGGAAUUCCACGUGUAGCGGUGAAAUGCGUAGAGAUGUGGAGGAACACCAGUGGCGAAGGCGGCUCUCUGGUCUGUAACUGACGCUGAGGCGCGAAAGGGUGGGGAGCAAACAGGAUUAGAUACCCUGGUAGUCCACGCCGUAAACGAUGAGUGCUAAGUGUUAGAGGGGUUAAACCCUUUAGUGCUGUAGCUAACGCGUUAAGCACUCCGCCUGGGGAGUACGGCCGCAAGGCUGAAACUUAAAGGAAUUGGCGGG
rnacentral:rRNA from 1 species